rnacentral:tRNA from 1 species
AUAUUUAAAACUUUAAUAAUAAAUUAUUAUUAAUUAUUAAUUCUAUGCAAAUAAAUAAUUUAAGAUAUUUAAAUAUA